rnacentral:rRNA from 1 species
UACGGAGGGUGCAAGCAUUAAUCGGAUUUAUUGGGCGUAAAGGGCGCGUAGGCGGACUUGUAGGUCAGGUGUGAAAUUCCGGGGCUUAACCUCGGAGCUGCACUUGAAACCCCAAGUCUUGAGGAUAGGCGGAGAAAAUGGAAUUCCACGUGUAGCGGUGAAAUGCGUAGAUACGUGGAAGAACACCUGUGGCGAAAGCGGUUUUCUAGCUUAUUCCUGACGCUGAGGCGCGAGAGCAAGGGGAGCAAACAGG